GAGGCUGUACUUGAUGUUUCCAAGGAUUAUCGUUGGCAUCUUCAUCAGGAUACCGUCAAAUUUAUAGGGGAUG
rnacentral:sRNA from 15 species